rnacentral:lncRNA from 7 species
AGGAAGGAUGAAGUCUGAGAAUCAGCCUGAAGAUGAAGAAAGCUUCUGGGAAUAUGUCAACAAAUCGUACUCUGUUUCCUGAGGUUGGCUGCUUGUUUCUAAUAUUUCUCUGUUGAGGAAGAGUUUGAAGACACAGACAACCCAAUAUGUUCUGCAUCAGUCUCAUAACAGCAGCUACGUAAUCCACAGAAACGUGAGUUAACAAUUACACUGGAUUGAAUUACAUUGAACUGGAAUAAGUUUUCUACCCUAUUGUUCUUCAUGAAUUGCUUAGGAAUUUUAGAAUAAGUGUCAGAGUUAAGUUCCAGUAUUGGGAAAAAAUCUACAGUUGCAGCAUCUUCUAUUUAUUUAUUAUAAUGGAAACACUGUAGAAAUGUAGAUCAGUUACCAUGUCCAUCACUAGAGUCUGCUGGAUCAGUAUGUGUGGAUAUGUCAAGAUUCGUGUGACUAGAAUUAUUAUUUAGGAUUUAUUUAGCAGAGAUGUCAGCUCAAAGUCUGAAAAUGUUUGUUUUGCAUCCUUUUCCUAAGCAAAAGUGAAGUCAUGCUUUUUUUUCUAGGGAUUAAAUGAUCUUGAAAAAUUUUAAUUUCCUUUUCCUUGGAUUAAAUUAUCAAGUCCAAGAUUCUUCCUGAAUUCAGUAUUUUUGCUGUAGUGUAACUUUAAUAUUUUGAACUAGAUUAGAAUCCAGUAUAUUAGUAGUCUUCAUGUGUAUCUUGGAGUACAACAGUAUGGCAUUAUGUACGUGUCUGUGUGGAGAGAAGCCUUUCAUCCCAUGCAAUCUUUUCCCUCACAAUACUUCACUUCUGCUGAAGUUAUCACAAACAAGGUGAGAUGGGCCUUACUCACAGUGAAUAUCAACCUCUUCAGCUUUUCUAUAAUUACUUUCAGGCCUUUUCUUGAUGAAUAAUUACUCAGCAGCUGUGACUGUGUCAGUACUCUAGAAUACUUCCUGUGAUUGAAAAAGCUCACUAUUUGAAAUAUGUAUAAAAAAAUGAGUGGAAUCUUUUCAUUUGGAUCAUCUUCCAAAAACUUUUUCCAUAGGAUGUAAUAUGGUUGCUUAAGAAUGUAAUAAAUACAACACAUGCACAC